rnacentral:snRNA from 1 species
UCUUGUAUCCUCAAGAAGUUGAUAAAUUCACAGAGAUUAGCAUGGCCCCUGUGCAAGGAUGACACGCAAAUUCGUGAAGUGUUCCAUAUUUUU